UACGUAGGAGGCAAGCGUUGUCCGGAGUUACUGGGCGUAAAGGGCCCGCAGGCGGUGGAGUAAGUUUGGAGUGACAGUUCCCAGCUUAACCGGGAAAGGACUUCGAAAACUGCUCGACUUGAGGACUGGAGAGGAAGGCGAAUUCCGGGUGGAGCGGUGAAAUGCGGUAGAAGAUCCGGAGGAACACCGACGGCGAAGGCAGCCCUUC
rnacentral:rRNA from 1 species